GACGAACGCUGGCGGCGUGCUUAACACAUGCAAGUCGAACGAUGAAGCCGGAGCUUGCUCCGGUGGAUUAGUGGCGAACGGGUGAGUAACACGUGAGCAAUCUGCCCUUGACUCUGGGAUAACUGCGGGAAACUGUAGCUAAUACCGGAUACGACACCUUGGGGCAUCCCAGGGUGUGGAAAGAAUUUCGGUCAAGGAUGGGCUCGCGGCCUAUCAGCUAGUUGGUGAGGUAAUGGCUCACCAAGGCGACGUCGGGUAGCCGGCCUGAGAGGGUGACCGGCCACACGGGAACUGAGACACGGUGCAGACUCCUACGGGAGGCAGCAGUGGGGAAUAUUGCACAAUGGGCGAAAGCCUGAUGCAGCAACGCCGCGUGAGGGAUGAAGGCCUUCGGGUUGUAAACCUCUUUUAGCAGGGAAGAAGCGAAAGUGACGGUACCUGCAGAAAAAGCACCGGCUAACUACGUGCCAGCCGCCGCAGUAA
rnacentral:rRNA from 1 species